rnacentral:rRNA from 1 species
GUAGGUGGCAAGCGUUGUCCGGAAUUAUUGGGCGUAAAGCGCGCGCAGGCGGUCCUUUAAGUCUGAUGUGAAAGCCCACGGCUCAACCGUGGAGGGUCAUUGGAAACUGGGGGACUUGAGUACAGAAGAGGAAAGCGGAAUUCCAAGUGUAGCGGUGAAAUGCGUAGAGAUUUGGAGGAACACCAGUGGCGAAGGCGGCUUUCUGGUCUGUAACUGACGCUGAGGCGCGAAAGCGUGGGGAGCAAACAGGAUUAGAUACCCUGGUAGUCCACGCCGUAAACGAUGAGUGCUAAGUGUUAGGGGGUUUCCCGUCCCCUUAGUGCUGCAGCUAACGCAUUAAGCACUCCGCCUGGGGAGUACGGCCGCAAGGCUG